AUGGGCUGGCCAGGUGCCUCCAUCACUAUCAAUCUCGCAUCGAGAUGUCGACGGCAAUUCCAUGAUACCCGGUGUGAAGAAAUAAGUGCGGAUAAUCUAAUACCAAAGGACUUGGCCCUCAAAAUUGCAACCAAGAUUAGAGCUGGCGAACGAUUUUCAGUUUAUGUAGUCAUACCAAUGUGGCCUGAAGGAAUCCCUACCUCAGCCUCUGAGCAGGAUUUUUUUCUUUUAGGUAAGCUCUAUUUUUGUAAAAGCAUUAUAGCAGUUAUUCUGCAAAAAAUUACACGCUGA
rnacentral:rRNA from 1 species